ACUGUACGGGAGGCAGCAGUAGGGAAUCUUCCGCAAUGGACGCAAGUCUGACGGAGCAACGCCGCGUGAGUGAAGAAGGAUUUCGGUCCGUAAAACUCUGUUGUUAGAGAAGAACAGCGCAUAGAGUAACUGUUAGCGCCUUGACGGUAUCUAACCAGAAAGCCACGGCUAACUACGUGCCAGCAGCCGCGGUAAUCAGU
rnacentral:rRNA from 1 species